rnacentral:lncRNA from 1 species
GGCUCAUCCAAGAGGUGGAUGUGAAAAUCCAUACGCUAGAGAAUCUGGUGUCUGCAGGACACCAGAUCUGGUCCACAGAGCAUAGGUGACAAUACACAGGUUACAUAUGGAUUCAUUUAUUCUAUAUAGUAAGUAGGCAUGGACGUGUAAAUAUACAGGAUAGGUGACAAUGCACAGAUUACAUACGGGUUUAUUCUAUAUAUUAACGAGGUAUGUAUAGAUUACAUGUGGAUUUAUUCUCUACAAUAACUAGGUAUGUAUAGAUUAUAUAUGAUUCAUUUGUUCUAUAUAGUAACCAGGCAUGUAUGUGUAAAUACAUGGCAUAGGUGACACUGUACAGAUUACACAUGGAUUUUUGCUACAUAUUAACUAGGUGUGUACAGAUUACAUGUGGAGUUAUUCUAUAUAUUAACUAGGCAUGUAUAGAUUAAAUAUGGAUUUUUACUAUAUAAUGACUAUGUAUGUACGUGGAAAUACAGGCCAUAGGAAGGCCCCAUGUCUCUCUGCCUGAUACAGCCACGCAAGGACUGGAGUGUGCAGCUCAGUGGUUGAAAUAUGGUGGACAAUUAU